GCGAGUGUGGCGGAACUGGUAGACGCGAUGGCUUCAAAAGCCUUUGACCUUUACAGUCGUGCGGGUUCGAUUCCCGCUGCUCGU
rnacentral:tRNA from 1 species